UACAGAGGGUGCGAGCGUUGUCCGGAAUCACUGGGCGUAAAGGGCGCGUAGGCGGCCUGAUAAGUCGGGGGUGAAAUCCUGUGGCUCAACCACAGGGCUGCCUCCGAGACUGUCGGGCUCGAGCACAGUAGAGGCAGGUGGAAUUCCCGGUGUAGCGGUGGAAUGCGUAGAGAUCGGGAAGAACAUCGGUGGCGAAGGCGGCCUGCUGGGCUGUUGCUGACGCUGAGGCACGACAGCGUGGGGAGCAAACAGG
rnacentral:rRNA from 1 species